rnacentral:tRNA from 1 species
UGAGAUGUAGCUUAAUGGUACAGUACUUGCCUAGUAAGCACAAAGCCCUGGGUUCAAUCCCCAGUACCACCA